UGCCGAUCUUCCGAUGGAUCAG
rnacentral:siRNA from 1 species